rnacentral:rRNA from 1 species
GACGAACCGUCCAAGCGUUAUUCGGAAUCACUGGGCUUACAGAGUUCGUAGGCGGUCCGGUAAGUUAGGUGUGAAAUCCCUCGGCUCAACCGAGGAACUGCGCUUGAUACUGCCGGACUCGAGGGAGAUAGAGGAAAGCGGAACUGAUGGUGGAGCGGUGAAAUGCGUUGAUAUCAUCAGGAACACCGGUGGCGAAGGCGGCUUUCUGGGUCUCUUCUGACGCUGAGGAACGAAAGCUAGGGUAGCGAACGGG